GAUGAACGCUGGCGGCGUGCCUAAUACAUGCAAGUAGAACGCUGAAGGAGGAGCUUGCUCUUCUGGAUGAGUUGCGAACGGGUGAGUAACGCGUAGGUAACCUGCCUGGUAGCGGGGGAUAACUAUUGGAAACGAUAGCUAAUACCGCAUGACAACAGUUAUUGCAUGAUAACUGUUUAAAAGGGGCAACUGCUCCACUACCAGAUGGACCUGCGUUGUAUUAGCUAGUUGGUGAGGUAACGGCUCACCAAGGCGACGAUACAUAGCCGACCUGAGAGGGUGAUCGGCCACACUGGGACGGAGACACGGCCCAGACUCCUACGGGAGGCAGCAGUAGGGAAUCUUCGGCAAUGGACGGAAGUCUGACCGAGCAACGCCGCGUGAGUGAAGAAGGUUUUCGGAUCGUAAAGCCCUGUUGUAAGAGAAGAACGAGUGUGAGAGUGGAAAGUUCACACUGUGACGGUAUCUUACCAGAAAGGGACGGCUAACUACGUG
rnacentral:rRNA from 1 species